GCAACGACGACACCCCUGCGACGACGAACCACUCCUGCGACGACGACACUCUGUGAAGAACCUAGCUGCGCUCGCGAUGCCUCCGCCGGUUCCGGCACCCCUAACCCUCAUUCUGCGGUGACUCUCUUGCAGUGACUCCCUCCGCUCAGUUGCCGUCGCAAACUUGCCGACGAUGAAGCCUUUGCCGCCGCUCCCUUCCGUUUCUGCAAACCCUUGACUCGUUCGGCGCCGCUCCCUUCCUGCUUAGCUUUGGAAGAAAGUAGACUCUCCACGCAUUUGAAAAGUCCUGUUCUUUGUUAUUCCUGGAUACGGACAUGGUGUUUUGCACAAAACAGAUCCAAGAUACACAUGCCAGAGGGAGUUUGCUUUGAAGCAUUUGCCAAAUGAUCCAUAUUUCCAGCUGGUAAUUGUUUAUUUCCUAAUGUCAAUAUUAUUUCCUAGGGGAGUUAAUGAGCCAACAAAUGUUGUAACUAACCUUCCAAAUGGUGAAUAUUUGGAGAAGCAUUUUCUCGUGUGAUCUUUGUCAUUGAA